ensembl:lncRNA
ACCACUCCUCCACAAAGUCCAGAUCAUGUUCCAGAGCAGUCCCCACAGACAGGAUCUUCAAGGUCAGGGCAAUGUGGCAAUGGUACAUGGAACUUUUUUUUUGAGUCAAGCCAUGGAAAAGGGGCUCCUGAUGGUGUGGGAGGAACGUUGAAGAGAACGGAGGACGGGUUGGUGGCUAAAGGCCGUGAUAUCAGUGAUGCACAGGAGCUUUACAAAGCCCUCCGUGAGACAAACACGUCAGGUUGGUGGCUAAAGGCCGUGAUAUCAGUGAUGCACAGGAGCUUUACAAAGCCCUCCG